AUUGAACGCUGGCGGCAUGCCUUACACAUGCAAGUCGAACGGGAGCACGGGGCAACCUGGUGGCGAGUGGCGAACGGGUGAGUAAUGCAUCGGAACGUACCUUUCAGUGGGGGAUAACGUAGCGAAAGUUACGCUAAUACCGCAUAUUCUGUGAGCAGGAAAGCAGGGGAUCGCAAGACCUUGCGCUGAUUGAGCGGCCGAUGUCAGAUUAGCUAGUUGGUGCGGUAAAGGCUCACCAAGGCGACGAUCUGUAGCGGGUCUGAGAGGAUGAUCCGCCACACUGGAACUGAGGCACAGUCCAGACUCCUACGGGAGGCAGCAGUGGGGAAUUUUGGACAAUGGGGGCAACCCUGAUCCAGCCAUGCCGCGUGAGUGAAGAAGGCCUUCGGGUUGUAAAGCUCUUUCGGCCGGGAAGAAAUCGCACGCGCUAAUACCCUGUGUGGAUGACGGUACCGGAAUAAGAAGCACCGGCUAACUACGUGCCAGCCGCCGCAGUAAUAC
rnacentral:rRNA from 1 species